UUACGGCUAUAUCGCAUUGAAACACCGGUUCCUCUACGAUGACCAAAGUUAAGCAACGUUGAGCCUGGUUAGUACCUCGAGCAGUGCCCGCUUGGGGAAUACCAGGUGCCGUAA